rnacentral:rRNA from 1 species
UGUGGUUUAAUUCGAUGCAACGCGAAGAACUUACCUGGUCUUGACAUCCCGGAGACCCUUAGGAAACGUAGGGGUGCUUCCAUCUGGAAGAAUCUGGAGACAGGUGCUGCAUGGCUGUCGUCAGCUCGUGUCGUGAGAUGUUGGGUUAAGUCCCGCAACGAGCGCAACCCUUGCCUUUAGUUGCCAGCAGUUCGGCUGGGCACUCUAAAGGGACUGCCGGUGUUAAACCGGAGGAAGGUGGGGAUGACGUCAAGUCCUCAUGGCCUUUAUGACCAGGGCUACACACGUACUACAAUGGCCGAUACAAAGGGCAGCGACACUGCGAGGUGAAGCCAAUCCCGUAAAAUCGGUCUCAGUCCGGAUUGGAGUCUGCAACUCGACUCCAUGAAGUUGGAAUCGCUAGUAAUCGUGGAUCAGCAUGCCACGGUGAAUACGUUCCCGGGCCUU